AUUGAACGCUGGCGGCAUGCCUUACACAUGCAAGUCGAACGGCAGCACGGGAGCAAUCCUGGUGGCGAGUGGCGAACGGGUGAGUAAUGUAUCGGAACGUGCCCAGUCGGGGGGGAUAACGUAGCGAAAGUUACGCUAAUACCGCAUACGAUCUUUGGAUGAAAGCGGGGGAUCGCAAGACCUCGCGCGAUUGGAGCGGCCGAUAUCAGAUUAGGUAGUUGGUGGGGUAAAGGCUCACCAAGCCGACGAUCUGUAGCUGGUCUGAGAGGACGACCAGCCACACUGGGACUGAGACACGGCCCAGACUCCUACGGGAGGCAGCAGUGGGGAAUUUUGGACAAUGGGCGCAAGCCUGAUCCAGCAAUGCCGCGUGCAGGACGAAGGCCUUCGGGUUGUAAACUGCUUUUGUACGGAACGAAACGGUCCUCUUUAAUACAGAGGGCUAAUGACGGUACCGUAAGAAUAAGCACCGGCUAACUACGUGCCAGCCGCCGCGGUAACAC
rnacentral:rRNA from 1 species